rnacentral:rRNA from 1 species
CCCUUAGAUGUUCCGGGCCGCACGCGCGCUACACUGAUGCAUUCAACGAGUCUAAAACCUGCUCUGAUAGGGGUGGGUAAUCUUUUGAAUGUGCAUCGUGAUUGGGAUAGAUGAUUGCAAUUUUUCAUCUUCAACGAGGAAUGCCUAGUAAACGCAAGUCAUCAGCUUGCAUUGAUUACGUCCCUGCCCUUUGUACACACCGCCCGUCGCUCCUACCGAUUGAAUGAUCCGAUGAAUAUCAUGGAUUGAGGAUGUAAGCAGGUUCGCCUGUCUUCAUCUUCGAGAAGUGAAGUAAAUCUUAUCAUUUAGAGGAAGGAGAAGUCGUAACA